UGUGUAGAGGACAGACAGUGCAAAAGGAUACACAUGAAGAGUAAUUAUAGGAAUCCUAAUUGAAUUUAGUGGUUACUUCAUGAUAAUUAUAAGCUUUAGUGCACUUCUAGAAAACUCAGUUGGAGAAAUCGUAACUCUGGCUUUAUGAAUGGAAAUUACCUUUCAGGUGAGCUCUCUUGGACAAGAGGUGGCUGAGCUGGGACGAGUCAUGCGGAGUCUUGCCUUUCUUCUCGAAUCCAUGAUGGCCUCUUCUCAAACACCAGGUGUCUGUACAUCCACGUUUACCUCGGGACAUCCAUCACCUGCUAUCCCCUUCCAGACCCAUGGUUCUUCCUGGACCAGCCCUCCUUUUCCCUCAACGAUACACAAUGGAAUACGUCCCGGAGGACUUGUAUCCCAUCUGCUUAGACCACAAGAACUGCGGCUGGUCUGCCCCACCACGUCUCCCAGUUCCUUUCCCGUAACAGUUUCCUCCUCCUUCCAUACAGACAGAUUCAGAGAGCCAUUAUUUACCCUUUCUCCACACAGCGCAGUCGCUCGGACCCGCUCACAAAGCCUGGAGACGCCUCUUCUGCAGCAUCACCAACACAUCUCACACACCCCUGGAACUUUACCCAGAGCUGGACAGUCAUCGCUGGGAGAAGGCGAGGAUCUCAGGUCCCUGGGUUUGUAGCAGUCAACUUUUAAAAUGGACAAGUUCCUCUGGAAUCUGCGUGUUAACCUGGACUCAGGACUGGACUGAUAAGAUAAGUGGUACACGCACUGCCAAAGCCACGGAGCAAUGGUUCCUUCGAAGAUAUACGUGUUUACCAUCUCAGUUUUAAGAUAAUCUCUCUAACGGCAUGUCUUUCAAUGCAAGAAACUAAAGGGAUAUCUCUAAUCAGGAAAGCUUGUUGGAGUUCCAACAGCAGUUUAACCUACCAAAAGUAUAAUCAACUGUUUGUGAUUCAGAUUCAACCCACAUUCCAUGUUCACUUCAUCCAUUAUACGUCCAAAUACUGUUCAUAUUAAGCCAAACUUCAGGUGCCAGUUGCAUAAACAGCCACUAUGUUAAAGGGGAUGUCAGAUGCCCAUUUUCCACAAGUUGUUAUGAUGCUUUAGGGUCUUCAUGAAAUGUCUGCAAAAUACUUUGGUUAAAAUUCCUCUUUAAAUGAUGAGCUACUGCUCUCUCCACCCGUCUUCCGUUUUUUUUGUGUGUGUAUCUGGUGGUGCAUUACCAUCAAAAACACCCACUGCAUCCUCAGUGGCUCUCAUGUUGAGAGAAAAUGUACUCUUAUGUUUACAUUAUUAUUACAUCCAACUAUAAAACACUUGAAUCGUUUGCGAGACAUUGCUGUCACUUGCAGUUACAAGCAGGAAACUUGAUAGAUGUUAACUAUCCCAUUGAAAAUCAAGCUCAUUUUCAUCUUGGAAAAUGAACUCGUUUUCAACUUGGAACAUUCCUUCACAUACUGUACAUCCAAGAAUUAUUUUGGAAAGAUGGGAAUAUAUUUCACAGAUUGAGUUGUAAAAGGAGAAGACUGGAGAGACUGAUUUAUAUUAGAACUUCAGCUCUUUAAUCAGAUGCGUAAAAGUAUUUGCAGUGCUUGAUAACUGACUUUAUCCCCUAAUUUAGUCAGAUUAGCCCUGUAUGGUGUAAAAAUACACUGUAUCUGCUUGUUAUAAAAUGCUCUGUCAACUUAAAUAGUUGAUGGGUUGUCUAAACAACUAGUCAGUCUUAAAUAAGCAUUGCAUAAUUAAUAAUAGUCAUGUCAUUUCCACUGAAUACUCAUCAGACUAGCAAAAACUGUCAACAAUAAGCUGACAGAUAUUCAGUAAAUAAGCUAAAUAACUAACCUUUAAUUGCACAAAACUACCAUAGUCCUCCCAUAAAAAGAAGAUGGAUUAUGCAUAAUAACGGGAAUAUAGCUCACAGCGGGCAAUCUGAAGUUUGACAGUAAUUGCCUUGGAAUUUAUUGUUGAAGGUUGUGAAUUCAUUACAAAAGCGGUGCUUUGAUGACUGUAGCAUUGAGGUUUUAAUUGGUUUAAAGCAUCAUUCUAAAAUUUUCUAGGAUAUCCCUUUAGUUUCUUUCUAUGUGUUAUUCUUAUUUGCAUGACUUCUGAAGAGGGUGGAGAGUAUCCCCUUGCAGUAGGAUGUAGAGACGCCAUGUAGGGUUGUGCAGUAGACACCAUAGAAGCAUGAAGGUCAUCUUGACACACACUGUCUCUCUUUUCUCCUCUGCUUAGCCCUCAGGGCAGGAGGGAGAAACAGCAGGACGAGUCUUACACAAUGUGCGGGUGCUGUAUGCAAGUGCAUGUGCUUGAGUAUGCGUGCGAGUGCAUUUGGGGGGAAACAGGCUUAUAAUACUGUAGCCAUAUACUAAAGGGGUAUUUGUGGCAGAGGUUUCUGAAGGAAUGGGAUCUGGGGCAGGAGGGAUGGGGGUGGGAUGCUCAAACGGCAGAGUUUAUAAUUAGUAUAAGUUGAAUUGACAUGUGGAAGGGGGGUUUCUGUUUGCUUGCUCUUUAGGACUGGUCUUGGGGGAUUGGUUGCCGGUGGCAAAGUGGCCCCUGCUGUCAUUUCGUCACUCCUUGGCGCAAAUGUGGUCUGUCUGCUUUGCCUGUCUCCCUCUCUUUCUCUUUCUCUUUUCUCUGCUCACUUUCCACCCAUUUCACUUUGUCUGAAUCUGGGAACAUAUUGCAAACCUCCUACUCCAGUUUUCGCCAUUGACCUUACUUAGUCAUUCAUUUUAGAGGGAUGCUUCACUCAGAUAUGAGUAAUGUGUCAUUAUAUACUGACCCUAGUGUCCUUCCAAAACUGUAUAACUCUAUUUGGUGGAGCAUUUGAAAAAAGUUAUUUUCCGUACAUUGAAAAACAUCCUUUCAGACCCCAAAACACUUGUUCUAAGUUGUCCUUUCAUGUGAGGACGCGAAUAGACAGAUAUUGAAUGUAGUAAAAAUACCUCUCUUCCACUGAAGCUGCCUAUUCUCAUUUGUUUUUGUCUUUAUUUUGUUCUAAGACACAUUGAGCCAAGUUUUAUGUCUGGUUGAUGCAGGGUUAUUUUCUAAUUUUUUUUUUUUACUUUCAAUUUUUUUUUUUACUUUGACUUCUCAUUUUAGCUUAGUUUUCAUUAGUAACUUUAUCAUUGUCAGUUUUGGAUCAGUUUUAGUUUUUAUAGUUUCAUAUGGUCUGUCUGUUGCCAUUGUAGUUGUUUUAGUUUUGUAUGUAUUUUGGUUUAUUUUGAUUAUUAUUAGCCUAUUAUUAUUUUUUGUUUCAUUGUUUUCAACGUUUCAUCGUUUAUUCACUCCCAUUUUUUGUUUUAGUUUUCUUGUUUAUUUUAUUCUGUAUAAUUUCAUUUUCAGAAGUUCUACUCUGUCAUUGUUAGUUUUGGAUUAGUCUUUGUAGUUUCAGUUUAAUAACCAUUCUCCUACACUGUUUCUUUAACUGUUUUAAAAAGCAGAAUGAAUAUUUACCAAUUGCUGGUCACAAUUUAUAGACAAUGAGCAUAUAAACUGCUGUGCCGUGCUCCUUAUAUUUAUCACAGAGUAAAAACGCUGAGUGAAAGGAGAGUUUUAUAAUGACAGGACACUCAUCAACACUUUAUUCAACAGGAAGAACAGUUCGUUCUACGCGUCAUGUGUCUUUGCUAUUAUUGCACAUGCGCAGUCCUUUCCAUUCCGGUUUUCAAUCCGAUAGAGUGUUUACAUGCACUCUCAGUCAUGCUAGAAAAGGAAUAAACCACCCCUUUCAAUCCGAUUGAAAUUUCAUGGGAUUGAGCUCAAUCUGAUCGAUUAAGGUGUUUAGCCUACAUGAAAGCUUUUCAGUCUGGAUUAUUGGGUGCAUGUCUAUCUCAUCAUCCUGUCACUUUUAUCCCUAUUGGAAAACUGCAUGUCAGACUUUAUAUUUCCUUGUCGCUGUUAAGGGUGACUGAUAUAGCCAAUACCAUAUUUAUUCUACUUAAUGUUUCAGGUAUAAUAACAUGACAUUUUUGGACUUUUUUAAAAAGUAUGUUUAUUGUAUAUAAUCUAAACCGGCCCCCAAAAGUCUUCAUCACUGCCUUGAGUCAGCUUGAUAUUUCCUCCCACAAUUCAGGACAGACUGUCUUCUUGCCCCUUCCUGCAGAACUCCACCUUUCCAUCCCUCUGCCAGUCACAGGACAGCGAUGCCAAGCUUGAGCAUAGGGGUUUACAUUUUUAUAUUUCUAUGAAUGUAUCUCAACUAAAGGUGUAUUUUUAUACCUCUAAAACAGAGGAAAUCUUCUGGAAUUGUGAAAAGACUGCUGGGAAUGGAUGCAAUGCAACUGGAGGGAUUGUGGGAAUCAUAUUCCAAUGCAAGGAUGAUUCUCGAUGCAGCUCUCUCACAGUCUCGAUGGCUUUGUGAAACUCUCCUAUCUCCAAUACUACUAGGAAUGUAAUCACGUUAUUUAAAUUCUUUUUGUUUUGAUAUUAUUAGAGAAAAACCUGUAAUGCAAAUAAAUGACUGCAGCUAUUGGAUUAAUGCAGAUGUAUUGUCCAUGUUUCCUACUGUUGUUCUGCCGCAGAUGUUUAUCAUUGGAGAGGCUGACGCCAAGUUAAAAUCACCGCCUAUGACCUUUUCCCCAAUUGUGAUGUUUAACAUGUCAAUAAGCUACUAUAUAUGGUAAUAUUUUCUUUCAUAACUCACAAACUACUUAAAAUCUAUCAUCAUUUGGUAUAAAGAAAAAUUAAAUAGCAUUAAUAUGAAAGUCUAGAUCUUAAUAUUGAAUAGUCA
rnacentral:lncRNA from 1 species